GACGAACGCUGGCGGCGUGCCUAAUACAUGCAAGUCGAGCGAACCGGCGGAUGGGUGAGUAACGCGUGGGUAACCUGCCCUUAGGUCUGGGAUACCAUUUGGAAACCGAUGCUAAUACCGGAUACUAAUGGAUGGCCCUUCGAUGCAUUAGCUAGUUGGUAAGGUAACGGCUUACCAAGGCGAUGAUGCAUAGCCGAGUUGAGAGACUGAUCGGCCACAUUGGGACUGAGACACGGCCCAAACUCCUACGGGAGGCAGCAGUAGGGAAUCGUCCACAAUGGACGAAAGUCUGAUGGAGCAACGCCGCGUGAGUGAAGAAGGUUUUCGGAUCGUAAAGCUCUGUUGUUGGUGAAGCGGUAAUCAACCAGAAAGUCACGGCUAACUACGUGCCAGCAGCCGCGGUAAUAC
rnacentral:rRNA from 1 species